CCCUUAGACACUCUAGGCGGCACGCGCGCUACAAUGGGUGGAAGAACGUGUUACUGCCUCCGAAAGGAGGGGUGAAUCACGAAUUCUUGCCCGUGAAUGGGAUAGUUUGUUGCAAUUUUCGGACUUGAACUAGGAAUCCCUUGUAAACAUGCUCAAGAAUAGCGUGUUGAAUACGUCCCUGCCGUUUGUACACACCGCCCGUCGUUUCUUCCGACUGAUACUCAUUGUGAGUCGCAAGGACCCUUUAUUGGGAAAUUGCUGCAAAUGCUUUGUAUUGGAGGAAGAAAAAGUCGUAACA
rnacentral:rRNA from 1 species